GGGUGCGUGUGCGAGGGCCGCCGUAACAAAAUACCAGACUGAGUGGCUCAUCAGAAAUUCACUUUCUCGCAGUCCUGGAGUCUGAAAGUCCAAGAUCAAGGCGUUGGCAGGUCACGGUCUCACGGUGCGUGGGUUCGAGCCCCGAGACGGGCUCUGUGCUGAUACCGAGGAUCCUGCAAGAAUUUAGGGACUUUUAUCCCGAAGGCAAUGGGAAACCAUGAAAGGUUCAAGUAGGAGACUAGAGCGGUCAAGGUGAAAUUUUAGAGUAGCUCUCUGAUUGCCCCAUGUACAUGUCCUGGAUGGAGAGCAAGCCUGGAGGCCUGCUACUCUAACUCAGCUCGGUGCCAUGGAACAGGACCACAAGAAAGAUAGGACCCUGACCCGGAGAAGCUGGAAUUCCCACAUAUGGAGGAAGAGCCUGUGAGGGUAGGUCUGUAGGGGUCUCCCUGGGAGCACACUGGGAAUGGGGAGGACAGCCAGGUGGGUGGGAGGGCUGCAGGACCUGGAGGGGGCCCCUGUGGACGGGUCAGUGCUAAACGGCCAUAGGACCAAGGCUGGGCCUUCUGUAUCUUUCACCUCUCUUCCCACAAUCCUGUGUGGCAAG